rfam:Fukomys damarensis contig143564, whole genome shotgun sequence.
UCCCUUUUGUGAUUCAUAAAUGUGAUGACUGGGUUUUCACAUCAUUGUGUGAUGUAUGCCUUCCUCAAAUCUUGUUACUUUUUGGUUCAUUACCCACCUGAUA